rnacentral:lncRNA from 1 species
ACGCCCCCAAAAUAGAUAUACAACACCCAUUCUGAGUCGCCAAAUAUAUGGUACAGAAAUAACUACAACUUUAUUAAUACAACAUAAAAACUGUGAGUUUAAAUACAAAUAUUGUCAUCUAGACAAUAUCCACACUCAAAUAAGUCCUCAUUACAAUUAUUAAUACACUAUUUUACAGAUUAGUGAGGACUACUAGAACAACUUCUAGAACCAUCAUUCCAUACCCCGACUAGUACUCGUUACAUUCUCGCCUCCUGAGAAGAAAAAUGGAACAACAAGGAAAAGGGUGAGCUCAACUAGCCCAGUAAAGAACAUUAUGACUAAGAUAAUAUAGAACAAAUUAGUUAGGUAUGUUCUGGAUCCAGGAUGUAAAAUAUCAGUGUAUUAAAUUCCACAUCAUUAUAAUAGACAUUCAUGAUUAUCUGUUCUAGAAAUACAGCUGCUCACUGUAUAUAAGAUUCAUUCAUAAUAUGCAUAUGCACUAAUUGUUUUUGUCAUAAUCAAAUAGAGGGAGAUUGUCAGGAAUAAGCAUGUGAAUGAUAUUCCUAUAUACAUAUGAUU